CCAGUUGAAACUCCUAUCAGUAAAGUUCAUACCUUGGGAAGUCACAUGUGUCAUAAGACUCCUGAAGAGACAGAAAGAAUGAGCUGAGCUCCUUAUAGGAACGCAAUCGGAAGUCUAAUAUAUGCUAUGGUGUGCACUAGACUUAAUAUCUGUCAAGCAGUUGGCUUGGCAAGUAAAUAUCAGACCGACCCAGAUUUAGCACAUUGGACAACAGUAAAGAGGAUCAUGAGAUAUCUGAAGGGAACUGCUGAUUAUGCCAUUUGUUAUCAAGGCAUCAAGGAUCUGUGAUUAGUUGGAUACAGUGAUGCUGACCAUGGAGGAGAUCUAGACAAGAGGAAGUCUACCUCAGGAGAUGUAUUCUUACUGAGUGAUGGGGCUAUAUCAUGGGGUAUUACGAAACAAUCAUGUGCAUCACUAUCUACGAUGGAAGCCAAAUAUGUGGCUUUCGAAACAGCAACACUAGAAGCUAUUUGGUUGAAACAGUUCUUGGAGCACUUGUUGGAUAUUGCUGAAAAUACUAAACCAGUAUUAGUCUACUAUGACAGUGAGGCUACAAUAUCCUCUUCUAAGAACCCAAAGUUUAAUUGCAAAAACAAACAUAUAGAUAUCAAGUAUUACUAUAUGAGAGACAUGGUUAGACGCAUGAUAGUGAAUGUGAAGUAUGUGUCUACAAAAGAUAUGUUACCAGAUUCAUUGACCAAGCCUUUGUCUAGAGAUACAUUUGUGGGAGAUACUAGGUCUCAAGGCUUGCGUUAACUUUGAGAUACUUUAUUUUGUUAUUUAUUUUCCCGUGUUCUCAAACUUAUAUUCUUUGAUUAUCAAUAAAGUUGAUACAUACGUACAUGUUUUUAUUGUUGAAUGUUACGUACAUUCUUUGUUCAUUUUUUUAAGUAUGUCGAGUAGACAUGAGGUUGGCCUUCUCACAUAGGAAAUUGCCUACUUAUCUUAGUGAUGUGAGGAGAUGAGACAUGAUUUUAAGCAAAAUUAUCAUAAGGAUGAUUUAAGAACUAUUUGCUUAAAAUCAGAAUGUCGAUUAAACAAUUACAUAAGGUCAUCAGGGCGAAAAAUGUUCACAUAGUCUACUUUAUGAGCAAGAUGUGAGAUAAUGUAGAUCAAAGAACUCAAAUUUAGAUACUUAUGGUGUCUAAAUAUCAUCUCUACAAUAUUCUUUAUGAGAUAAAGACAUAUGCUUCUUGGGAAAAGGGAGAAAAUGUUGUAGCACAUAUUUCAUACCAUGUGUGAGACCCAGAGCUUUAUGAUAGCUCAAGAUUUUGUACCCUUAGAGACUCUGAUCAGAUACUUGAGACUUAGCAUGAUGUUAGCUAUCUUGGUGUGUUUCCAAAAGACCAUGAAUACAGAUACGGUCUAGCAGAGCAUAACUAGGAAAGUAGUCACACUAAUAUUAAGGGAAUAGUGAGAAUAGGAAGACCAUUGAUGGAAUCUCAUUUAUUUGUAUUUAUUGGUGCACCAAUUAUGACAUGAGUUAUGAUUGGGAAUACAAGAAAUAAUGAUAUAUGAGAUUUUGAGACUAUAUUAGUUCUCACAGUAUGCUGGUCACACGGUCUACUUCCCUGUAUAAAUGAUUAAGGAGAUGGGUUGAGAAUAUGCUUCUCAGGCUAGAUCAGCAGUCCCAUUAUGUGUGAGUGGGAGAUGUAGGAAAUAUUGGUUCCACGCAUAAGGGGUGCUCUUAGGCCCAAUAGGGUUAUUAGUUAACCCUAAUAUUUCCUAUAUAAGUACACUUAGUGUGGACAUUAAAAAUAGACUUUCUAUAGUAUUUUUCUCUAUGCUCUUUCUCUCGCUGAAUCAAACUAGGGUUUAGACAGUGGAAUUGGGAGUUGCUCCAAUACACCGUGACAACCACCGCCGACCUGUAAUUCCAGCCACAGUUUAUCCGUUUUUCCUUUCGCGAACCAGUAAGUUCUUGUUUUACAGUUUACGCGCUAUCUAAUGUGUUUAGAUUAACGUGUUAUUUUAAAAACACAUGAUACUUAAACUCAAUUAAAUAUUAACAGUAAUAAAAUACAGGGAAUUAGUAUACCGUCCACUUAAAUCCCAAAAUUAUACAAGACUCUCAGUAGCAUAAAUUCAGCUGGCUUUUAACAUUACACAAACUGUAGGACAAUCAAAUUCAACUCAAAUUCUGGCUAACUCAAUAGACAAUUUAUAUGAUAUUUCAACCUUAUAUGAGCCUAUUUCAAUGCAUAUAAUAACAAAUAAAACUUUAUGAGACUAUAAAGUAAACGAUUCUGAAUUUAAACAACAAUUUCGACUUAAACAUGCUUAUACACAAAUCAGGGGUAAUUCAGUGUAUGGCUCGACCCUUAAAGUAAUAACCUAAAGCAAUUCCUUUGUCUAAAAUGACUGCAUACUGACUAUCAGCUUGGAAAACAAAUCAACUGCCCAUUUCACUUAAAUAAAGUACUACAUGACUUUAAAUAGCACACUAUACUUACUGGUAUGUUUUCCAAUUGAAAGUUUCUAGUCUCCAGCCUAUACUUGUCAUUUUUAGCAAGUUCAUGCAGAAAUCAACACCAAAACAAAUAUUGUUUUCAGCAAAACUAAAACAGGUCAAAAACACAGGUAAAUCGCUUGAACCUUCUGCUGCAGUAAUCUUAAAAGUCCAUUCAUACAAAUACAUGUUCAACUCAUUUAAAUUAAGCGACUAAAGCUAAUGAUUUGUCCAUUAUUACAAAUAGAGCUUAAAACUAGAAUAGAAAAGAACAAACAUAAUGAAAAAAAUUAAGCUAAUUAGAGAGCCUAAUGAUUUCAGGAAUGUAGAAAAUAACAUUUAACAGACUGGUAUGCCAUGGGUUUUUAGCUUAAUCAAAUACUUCAUGCUCUUCCAUUCACAUGUCAAGAAAGUGUAAUGAAUACCUGGAAGUUCAUAUAGAAACAAGGAGAAAGAAGAGUUAGCAAAAGCAACAGAAUCAGCUCAACCAAACCAGCCAAAUCCCAACUUCUUUCAAACCAAGUUAAACCCAAAUGAACACACUUCUUGGAGCCUAUUUUUUUUAGAAAAACUUCUGAUCACUAAUGAAGACAAGGAACAAAACAAGCAGAUUUUUGCUAUUCAAAUGCAAAUAGCUUUCAGUAGCUUCAGGGUAUAAAGAACUUCAGUAGUUUAUGAACACCCCCCCACCCCCCCCUUUUUAGUCUCUCCUUGUGUAUUUCUUUAGCCGUUUCUAAAAUUUUUUUGGUUCUGAUCUCUAUUUAAAUUCUCUCUAUGGUCUGAUCUAUAUAGGACGUCCUUAAGGCAGCAGAAAUGAAUUUUCUAUUCACAAAAGCCUCUUCCCCAAUUUUUAAUUAAUUCCACUCAAAUUCUUCUCUUUACAUUAUUCAGUAGUGCACUCCGAACCCCACCACUGUAGAAACUUCCUACUUAGUUAGGCAAGUCUCCACUUACUCAAUCUCGCUAAGCUAACAUUUGAAGAUUUAAUAAUUACCAAGAUAGGCCUUUAAGCCAAUAUGCUUUCUACCUCUUGGGUUUCUGCAUUAGCAGACUCUAACACCUUUGGGCUUCUUGCACUAGCAAGCCCAGACUACCAACGACUCACAAGGGGUUCCGAAUCCGUUCUUUCAUUUUAGAGACAAACAAGUGAAAAGGCACAAAGCAAAAGCGAAUGAAAUUAAUUAUAUGCUAACUAAAAUUAUUCAAUUAAUCAAUCUCUAAAUUAAAAGGCCUAUCAUGCAACAAAUACGGAUUUGGACAAGAAAAUAAGAGAGAAAGAGGAAUACCAGGAGAUGAUGAAGAUAGAACAUGCAAAACAAAAAAGAAUAAUGAAAAUGGAACUACUAACCACAGCAGAUGAAUAAAAGUGAAUCGAUUGGCUAACUUAACCUACUUCGUUAAGGGUAACUCACCCUAAUGAACUCCCUUAUACAAGGGUGCUCUGUCAGGGCGAGCUUCGACCCCUAACGAGCAAAACGCACUUCAACUCGGCUCCAAUUUUGAAAUAUGGAUUGAGCCCUAGGUUCCAAAUUCGGUAAACCCUAGGGUUCAUUUGGGCAAAUUGUUCGGAGUUUUGAGUUUGGGAGACAUAGUGACUGUAGGGUAAAGAGAUCAACGGCUUAGACCUUUCAUUUUAUGGAAUGACGCCGUU
rnacentral:lncRNA from 1 species